UCCUUUGCCUAUUCUAUUUAAG
rnacentral:miRNA from 1 species